rnacentral:rRNA from 1 species
UACGGAGGGAGCUAGCGUUGUUCGGAAUUACUGGGCGUAAAGCGCACGUAGGCGGCGAUUCAAGUCAGAGGUGAAAAGCCCGGGGCUCAACCCCGGAACUGCCUUUGAAACUAGAUUGCUAGAAUCUUGGAGAGGUCAGUGGAAUUCCGAGUGUAGAGGUGAAAUUCGUAGAUAUUCGGAAGAACACCAGUGGCGAAGGCGACUGACUGGACAAGUAUUGACGCUGAGGUGCGAAAGCGUGGGGGGCAACAGGG